UCCUACGGGAGGCAGCAGUGGGGAAUAUUGCACAAUGGGCGAAAGCCUGAUGCAGCAACGCCGCGUGCGGGAUGAAGGCCCUAGGGUUGUAAACCGCUUUCAGCAGGGAAGAAAAUGACGGUACCUGUAGAAGAAGGUGCGGCCAACUACGUGCCAGCAGCCGCGGUGACACGUAGGCACCAAGCGUUGUCCGGAUUUAUUGGGCGUAAAGAGCUCGUAGGCGGUUCAGUAAGUCGGGUGUGAAAACUCUGGGCUCAACCCAGAGACGCCACCCGAUACUGCUGUGACUAGAGUGCGGUAGGGGAGCGGGGAAUUCCUAGUGUAGCGGUGAAAUGCGCAGAUAUUAGGAGGAACACCAGUGGCGAAGGCGCCGCUCUGGGCCGUAACUGACGCUGAGGAGCGAAAGCGUGGGUAGCAAACAGGAUUAGAUACCCUGGUAGUCCACGCCGUAAACGUUGGGCACUAGGUGUGGGUCUCAACCAACGAGAUCCGCGCCGUCGCUAACGCAUUAAGUGCCCCGCCUGGGGAGUACGGUCGCAAGGCUAAAACUCAAAGGAAUUGACGGA
rnacentral:rRNA from 1 species